CGGUUGAUCCUGCCGGAGGUUACUGCUAUNGGAGUUCGAUUAAGCCAUGCGAGUCUAAAGGUUUCUUCGGAACCCUUGGCGGACUGCUCAGUAACACGUGGAUANNCUACCCUUGGGACUGGAAUAACCCCGGGAAACUGGGGAUAAUACCGGAUAGAUCAGGGAUGCUGGAAUGCGCCUUGAUCCAAAGCUCCGGCGCCCAAGGAUGGGUCUGCGGCCUAUCAGGUUGUAGUGGGUGUAACGUACCUACUAGCCGACGACGGGUACGGGUUGUGAGAGCAAGAGCCCGGAGAUGGAUUCUGAGACACGAAUCCAGGCCCUACGGGGUGCAGCAGGCGCGAAACCUUUACAAUGUGCGAAAGCAUGAUAAGGGAACUCCGAGUGCCAGUAUCUAAUACUGGCUGUCUUUGUGCCUAAAACGCACAAGAUAGCAAGGGCCGGGUAAGACCGGUGCCAGCCGCCGCGGUAACACCGGCGGCCCGAGUGGUAGCCGCUAUUAUUGGGUCUAAAGGGUCCGUAGCCGGUUCGAUAAGUCCUCUGGGAAAUCUGGUUGCUUAACAAUCAGACUGCCAAGGGAUACUGUCGAACUUGAGACCGGGAGAGGUAAGAGGUACUUCAGGGGUAGGAGUGAAAUCUUGUAAUCCCUGGGGGACCAUCUGUGGCGAAGGCGUCUUACCAGAACGGGUCUGACGGUGAGGGACGAAAGCUGGGGGCGCAAGCCGGAUUAGAUACCCGGGUAGUCCCAGCCGUAAACGAUGCUCGCUAUGUGUCAGGUACGGUGUGACCGUAUCUGGUGCCGUAGGGAAGCCGUGAAGCGAGCCACCUGGGAAGUACGGUCGCAAGACUGAAACUUAAAGGAAUUGGCGGGGGAGCACAGGAAUUGGCGGGGGAGCAC
rnacentral:rRNA from 1 species